ACUUAAAUAGUUUAAGAUAAAAUAUAAGUUUGUGGAGCUUGAGAUGUAAAAAGUUACUUUAAGUU
rnacentral:tRNA from 1 species